AUACGAGUGGUGCAAGCGUUAUUCGGAAUCAUUGGGCGUACAGGGUGUGUAGGCGGCAUGUUAAGUCUGUUGUUAAAGACUCCGGCCUAACCGGAGAUGGGCAGCGGAAACUGGCAUACUAGAGGUUGGAAGAGAGAAGCGGAAUUCUCGGUGUAGCGGUAAAAUGCGUAGAUAUCGAGAGGAACACCGAUGGCGAAGGCAGCUUCUUGGUCCAUACCUGACGCUGAAACACGAAAGCGUGGGGAGCAAACAGGAUUAGGUACCCUGGUAGUCCACGCUGUAAACGAUGAUCACUAGACGUUGGUUCUGUUUUACAGAAUCAGUGUCGCAGCUAACGCGUUAAGUGAUCCGCCUGGGGAGUACGGUCGCAAGAUUAAA
rnacentral:rRNA from 1 species